rnacentral:lncRNA from 10 species
GUCCCUGACACAAAGCACUUUACACAGGAGGGACUGAUUAAAAACUCUAAUGUAAGCAGCCAGUAAAAACAGGUGAAUGAUAAUAUGGAUCUAGAUCUGACAAUUUCAUUCUUAACCAAGAGAAUGGGAUGUCUAAAAAAACCUACAGUUGCUGCUUAAUUUUAAAAAAUCGAUUGGGCAGGGCGCAGUGACUCGCUCCUGUAAGCCCAGCAGUUUGGGAGGCCGAGGUGGGUGGAUCACGAGGUCAGGAGUUCGAGAC